UACGUAGGUGGCAAGCGUUGUCCGGAAUUAUUGGGCGUAAAGCGCGCGCAGGCGGUCCUUUAAGUCUGAUGUGAAAGCCCCGGGCUCAACCUGGGAAUGGCAUUGGAAACUGGUCAGCUGGAGUGUGGCAGAGGGGGGUGGAAUUCCGCGUGUAGCAGUGAAAUGCGUAGAGAUGCGGAGGAACACCGAUGGCGAAGGCAGCCCCCUGGGCCAACACUGACGCUCAGGCACGAAAGCGUGGGGAGCAAACAGG
rnacentral:rRNA from 1 species